rnacentral:rRNA from 1 species
GACGGAGGGUGCUAGCGUUGUUCGGAAUUACUGGGCGUAAAGGGCGCGUAGGCGGCUCUGUCAGUCGGGUGUGAAAGCCCGGGGCUCAACCCCGGGAACGGCACCCGAGACGGCGGGGCUGGAGACCGGGAGAGGAGGGUGGAAUAGCCAGUGUAGAGGUGAAAUUCGUAGAUAUUGGCUGGAACACCGGUGGCGAAAGCGGCUCUCUGGCCCGGUUCUGACGCUGAGGCGCGAAAGCGUGGGGAGCAAAC